CGUUCUGUGGCGUAGUUGGUCAACGCGCCCAGUCUAGCGUAUUGGUAGUCGUGGGAUCGAAGCGCACCAGAACGA
rfam:Aedes aegypti strain Liverpool supercont1.921 genomic scaffold, whole genome shotgun sequence.